CCAUUGCCGGCAUGAGUAGCGAUAAAUCGGGUGAAAAACCCGAUCGCCGUAAGUCCAAGGGUUCCUGGGGAAGGUUAAUCCGCCCAGGGUUAGUCGGACCCUAAGUCGAGGUCGAAAGGCGUAGACGAUGGAAAGCAGGUUAAUAUUCCUGCACUUUAAUACACGCGUUAUUACCGAAGGAGGGACGCAAAGAAGCAAUUGGGACUCCUAUUGGAUGGAGUUGAGUCUGCGUAAGAGGUUUUGUAGGUAAAUCCGCAGAACAUUCUCUGAGACAGAGGACGAGGGCAAUGCCCGCAAAGCCAGUGAGCUUAUGUUGCCGAGAAAAGCUUCGUAGGGAGUUUGUAUUAAAUCCGUACCGUAAACCGACACAGGUGGACGAGGAGAAUAUCCUAAGGCGCUUGAGAUAACUCUAGUUAAGGAACUCUGCAAGCUAGCACCGUAACUUCGGAAGAAGGUGUGCCCAGACUUAUCAUUACCCUCGCGGUAAGAAGUAAUGCUGGGUCGCAGUGAAAUGGGGGUAGCGACUGUUUAACAAAAACACAGGCCUCUGCUAAGUCAAUACGACGAAGUAUAGGGGCUGACGCCUGCCCGGUGCCGGAAGGUUAAAAGGAGCUGUCAACGCAAGUGAAGCAGUGAAUUGAAGCCCCGGUAAACGGCGGCCGUAACAAUAACGGUCCUAAGGUAGCGAAAUUCCUUGUCGGGUGAGUUCCGACCUGCACGAAAGGCGUAACGACUUCCCCACUGUCUCAACUAGGGACUCAGCGAAAUUGAAUUAACUGUGCAAAUGCAGCUUACCCGCGGCAAGACGGAAAGACCCUAUGAACCUUUACUAUAACUUGGCCCUGAAACCCGAAUUUAUCUGUGUAGAAUAGGUGGGAGACUUUGAAGCUUAGGCGCUAGCUUAGGCUGAGUCGAAAAGUGAAAUACCACCCUGAUGAAUUUGUGUUUCUAACCCAGUCCCGUAAUCCGGGACGGGGACACGGUCUGGUGGGUAGUUUGACUGGGGCGGUCGCCUCCCAAAUUGUAACGGAGGCGCACAAAGGUCCCCUCAGCCUGGACGGAAAUCAGGCGUCGAGUGUAUAGGCACAAGGGGGCUUGACUGUGAGACCAACGAGUCGAGCAGGUGCGAAAGCAGGUCUAAGUGAUCCGGUGGUACCGAAUGGAAGGGCCAUCGCUCAACGGAUAAAAGGUACUCUAGGAUAACAGGCUUAUCCCGCCCAAGAGUUCACAUCGACGGCGGGGUUUGGCACCUCGAUGUCGGCUCAUCACAUCCUGGGGCUGUAGUAGGUCCCAAGGGUUCGGCUGUUCGCCGAUUAAAGUGGUACGCGAGCUGGGUUCAGAACGUUAAAAA
rnacentral:rRNA from 1 species